AGGAUACCUGAACCAGUUUACUGUCAAGAAGGCUGUGUCAUCACAGACCUCCACUGAACCAACAGCUAAAAAUAGUUGCACCCUGAAACCAGAUGUACAUAUUGUAAUUAUAAAAUAUCAGCUCUCUUGGUUCAUUUUGGAUGUGGAAACGUAAUGCAGUAGGCCUGGAAAAGAUUCUGAAGUAUCCAUGGUGAUGAUCUACCACAGAAUAUUGAAAGAGGUCCUUGAACAACAAAACCCUUUUAACUGGCAUCAUCUGCCCAAAAUGUCCCGGAUGGAGCCUGUAUCUGAAGACAGUUCCUGGCUUCCAUUAGGAAUCACAAGAUCUAUUGCAUUUACAAUGGACUGCCACAACACACAGGAAUAGUCUGUGACUAUUCUUUGAAAGGAACAGAGCUGAUACCCACCAGUUUUACUGCACCUUGUCAAAGACGUCACCGAUUUAGCAGUGAUCCAUAGCCAAUGCACUGAAGACCUUCAGAAUAACUUCCUCUGCUACAGUCACAUACAUCAGAUUUAAUUUGCAAGUAUCAAGAAAGAAAGCAAGCAACACAAGAUUCCAGCUAACAGCUCUGUGUAAACAAGUCCUGAAGAACUCUGGAAGUCUGUCUGCUUAUUGUUAAGAUUCAACACAGAGGCAAGGAAAAGCACGUACAGCUAAUGGGGCCAUCUCUCAGGGUCAUCCAGCAGCUGUUCCUGUUGAAUAUUCAAACACACCCAUCCACACCCACCUCCACCCAUGCAUAAAAGGAUUGAAAGGAUCACCGGACAAGAAACAAGAAAGCAAGACUGCUGACAUUUAAAAACGAAGACUGCUUUUGGUAAUAAACAGAUUUCUUCCUAAGCCUCCCCACCCUCCCUUUUCUGUUACCCUUCCUAUAGACCUUCUUCUGUUUUUCUUAGUGACAUAAUGCUCUAAAAUCAUUUAUUUCUCAUAAUUAUGAUCUAAGACCAUUCAAAUGACUUAUCACUGGAUUAAACCCUGUGCAGAAAAAUAAAAA